CCCCAGCCUCAGAUCUGUCCUCCCAUCUUUGCAAACGUGGGUUAUUGAAUUAUCGUCUCUCGCUUUACUUGCUAGCAACUGGGGACAACUCCUAGCACAGUAGGGCCCUUUUGCUCUGGCAGGUCGCCCCUGACGUUUUGGGUUCGGUUGCCUUUAGCUCUGGAGUGCAUGGGGCUUCCUAGGGUCAGCGGCAGAUGCCCUUGCCUCCUCCACCUGCAGAGGUGGCCCUGCCCUUGGCCCUCUGGUCCUCAGAGGGAACGGAAAGCAGCUGUGAUCUUGGUUUCUUUUUGCACGCCAUCAGCAGGGAGUUGGAUUGGAAGUGAAGCAGUCAAGAAUGCAAACCAGUGCCCAUAUAGGAUUCUGGCAACGCCAGUGGCAGCUUUACCAUCUCUGCCACAAUGUCAGCCCCGAAAAUAAAGUUUCUAACAGUCACUAUGAA